CGGUGGAGGCCGGAUCCUGGGCUGUGUCCCGGCGCCCUGUGCUCCGGGGCCUGCGCUGUUGGAUUCGCGCUCCCGCCUCGCAGCCCCCU
rnacentral:pre_miRNA from 1 species